rnacentral:tRNA from 1 species
GCCUCUAUAGCUCAGUCGGCAGAGCAUUUGCUUA